GAGGGUUUAGUGUAGUAGAAACAUAACGGUCUCCAAAACCGUAGUCGGUGGUUCAAUUCCAUCAGCCUUUG
rnacentral:tRNA from 1 species